AUUGAACGCUGGCGGCAGGCCUAACACAUGCAAGUCGAACGAGUGGCGGACGGGUGAGUAAUGUCUGGGAAACUGCCUGAUGGAGGGGGAUAACUACUGGAAACGGUAGCUAAUACCGCAUACCAUCGGAUGUGCCCAGAUGGGAUUAGCUAGUAGGUGGGGUAACGGCUCACCUAGGCGACGAUCCCUAGCUGGUCUGAGAGGAUGACCAGCAACACUGGAACUGAGACACGGGCAAGACCCCUACGGGAGGAAGCAGUGGGGAAUAUUGCACAAGGGGCGCAAGCGUGAGGCAGCCAUGCCGCGUGUAUGAAGAAGGCGUUCGGUUUGGAAAGUACUUUCAGCGGGGAGGCGUUACCCGAAGAAGAAGCACCGGCGAACUCCGUGCAAGAAGCAGCGGUAAUAC
rnacentral:rRNA from 1 species